rnacentral:rRNA from 1 species
GACGAACGCUGGCGGCGUGCUUAACACAUGCAAGUCGAACGGAAAGGCCCUGCUUUUGUGGGGUGCUCGAGUGGCGAACGGGUGAGUAACACGUGAGUAACCUGCCCUUGACUUUGGGAUAACUUCAGGAAACUGGGGCUAAUACCGGAUAGGAGCUCCUGCUGCAUGGUGGGGGUUGGAAAGUUUCGGCGGUUGGGGAUGGACUCGCGGCUUAUCAGCUUGUUGGUGGGGUAGUGGCUUACCAAGGCUUUGACGGGUAGCCGGCCUGAGAGGGUGACCGGCCACAUUGGGACUGGGAUACGGCCAAGACUCCUACGGGAGGCAGAAGUGGGGAAUAUUGCACAAUGGGCGGAAGCCUGAUGCAGCAACGCGGCGUGCGGGAUGACGGCCUUCGGGUUGUAACCCGUUUUCGCCUGUGACGAAGCGUGAGUGACGGUAAUGGGUAAAGAAGCACCGGCUAACUACGUG